UAAACUAGGAUUAGAUACCCUAUUAUACCAGUUUUAGAAGGUAUUACUUGGGUAGUAAACAGUUAAGAACUUGAAAUCUAAAAAAUUUGGCGGUAUUUUAGUCUAUUUAGAGGAACCUGUUCUGUAAACGAUAAACCGCGUAGUAUCUCACUUUACUUGGUUUAGUUUGUAUACCGCCAUAAUCUGGAUUUGUUUUAAAACAAAUUCCAAAAGAGAUAAUUAACUAAAACAUUAGGUCAAGGUGCAGCUCAUAGUAAAGUAGUUAAUGGGUUACAAUAUGACUAACAUAACACGAAAGGCGGUCUGAAAAAGCUCCGGAAGGCGGAUUUAAUAGUAAUGCUCAAUUUAACAUGAGAUCAUGAACGAGCUCUAAAAUAUGUACACAUCGCCCGCUCUAGA
rnacentral:rRNA from 1 species